UACGAAGGGGGCUAGCGUUGUUCGGAAUUACUGGGCGUAAAGCGCACGUAGGCGGAUAUUUAAGUCAGGGGUGAAAUCCCAGAGCUCAACUCUGGAACUGCCUUUGAUACUGGGUAUCUCGAGUAUGGAAGAGGUGAGUGGAAUUCCGAGUGUAGAGGUGAAAUUCGUAGAUAUUCGGAGGAACACCAGUGGCGAAAGGCGGCUCACUGGGUCCAUUACUGACGCUUGAGGUGCGAAAGCGUGGGGAGCAAACAGG
rnacentral:rRNA from 1 species